UACGAAGGGGGCUAGCGUUGCUCGGAAUCACUGGGCGUAAAGGGCGCGUAGGCGGCCGCCUAAGUCAGACGUGAAAUCCCUCGGCUCAACCGGGGAACUGCGUCUGAUACUGGGUGGCUUGAAUCCGGGAGAGGGAUGCGGAAUUCCAGGUGUAGCGGUGAAAUGCGUAGAUAUCUGGAGGAACACCGGUGGCGAAGGCGGCAUCCUGGACCGGCAUUGACGCUGAGGCGCGAAAGCCAGGGGAGCAAACGGA
rnacentral:rRNA from 1 species